CUUGGGGUGACUCGAACUCAUAAUCUCUUGGUUGGAAGUGGAGGGUGCUUACCACUAGAGCAACCCACUCUUGGCCAAAGUAAAAUAGGGCGACAGAAUAUUCAAUUUGUUGGGACCUAGCCACCUAGGCAAGUCCCUGAAUUGAGCAGAAUGGAUAUAGAAUGAAUGGAUAUAAGAUGAUGGAUAUAGUCGACCUCAAAUGAUUUAGAAUUAAAGCAUUGUUGAUUGAUAUAUAGCUAAUAGACAGUUAUGUUGCUGAAUUAAUAGGUUGAUGUGGGAACUACUGUAGAGGGCGUUCGGAUUGGCUUUUAAAAGGUAGCUUAUAAGCUAAAAGUCAUAAGUUGGUAAUACCCAAUUUUUGGUUUUGACUUAUAUUUGUACUUUUCAUGCCUAAAAGUAAGUGCUUUUAAGCACUUUUUAUCAUUGGCAAACACCACAAAAACUAGAAAAGUGCUUAAAAGCCAAUAAGCACUUAAAAUAAGCCAAUUUAAACACCCUCGUAGUCUAAUGACAUGACUACUAAUGUUACUGCUACAAAAAUACAAGGGUAUAGGACUGUCGCACCACUGGAUCCUAGCAUUCUAGGCAUGCAUGUGGGGCGUGGGACAAGGAAAAAUAAACACAGAUCUCAAUCAGCCAUCAUGUUUUCAAAGACAAAAAGGCGACAAAGUUAGACAAAACCCGUGAAAGAUUUUCAAGGGAUGAUUUUAGUCAAUGUUGGUGAGGUGGAAGACCUUGAGGUCUAGGAUUUUAAAGGCCGAAACCGUCUGGUAGUGAGGUGCAGAUCCUGGGGCAAGGAUCCUAAAUUCUUUCUGUGCCUUAUGAAGAGGUUAGAGACAAAUCGUAAAUUUUUUGAGAGCAUGCUCUUUGCCCUUGUGUAUCUGUUGUUGUGAUGGUGUUCAUGAACAACAAGGCUUUAAUCAUCCCGUACCUAAGGAAAUUGCUUAAUUAAACAUCAUUAACUAGUUGCUUGAUAGUAGUUGCCUAAUUACUCCUACUCAGUGAAUGGUUGCCAACUUGCCCCAGCCACUCUAGGCCUUUUUACCAAUUUUCUGAGGUAAAGUAGAUUCUUGAGAGAAAACAUGACCCUUUUUUCUUUGUUUAUAUAAUUUAUGUAACCAGGCCAUUUUGGCCCGAUCCGCCGCUGGGCCAGCUACAAUUUCCAGGGCGGAUCUCUUAGAUAAACUUUUAAUGCACCUUUAAUUAGUUUAUCUACAUUUUCUCUCAUGCAAAAGGGUGCAAACGCACUCUUGGAGUCCUAAGAACCUUUAACCUUAUUCCCUAAGCUAAGAUUUGUUGCCUUUACUCUUUAAGCUCUAUUUAUUAAUGAACAAAUCAAUUAUACGAAGUAAUAUCAUUAACUCAAUCGAAGUAAUAACCUUUAACUCUCAACCUUUUUUGAAAGAUUUAGUUGUAUAAAUGACACUCCAAAUGGAUAUUCCAGAAUUGAAGAGUGUUUGGUGAGAAACUGGAGGAGUGUUAUCCUCUUGAGAGAUUGAGAUUUGAGAUUCUCAAUCCAAUUAUUACACUUUUUUGCAUAGUUGGCUGUUCCUAUCUUCCUACAUGAAUGAGGUGUGCAAUCAAUUAGAACCCUGUUAGGUUAAUAUUUCUUUUGGUUUGUGCACCCCUUUUUUAAUUUGCCCAGUUUUUCGCUACUGUUGGUAUAUUAGCAUUGUUUUUCUUGCUCUGUUUUUCCUCUUUUUCCGAUGUUAUUCACUGAUUCGUUAAUUUUCUUUCCAUAAGAAUCUUUAUGAAAGAAAAGAGGGCUGGAUUAGAGCUGAAGUAAUAUAGUCGAUUAAUGUAUCAUGCCCAAUUGGUGUGAGAAUGAGGUGUGGCUGAUUGAUUGGAGUCUCCACCUUGUGCUUUAUUGACUUGGCUUGCAUUUGGAGCCAAUGACCAAAAGUGUGCAGAUGUCAGACUAUUUACUUGGGCUGGAAUGUGUAUGCAAAUAAAGAAUUGGUUUCCUAAGAUGCUGUGCACCAAAAUUCUGUCGCAAGUGUCAGUGUUGAGCUAAGUUAGGUGCUGUAAAGGAAUGUGCUAUAUGGCAGAGCUUCAUUUGUUUGAUUGAUGUGAGGGGCUGCACUUUCUUCGUAUAGAGGUAAUACAAUGCUCACUAUUUCUACCCCCUUCCUUCCCCUUUCCUUAAUUCUCUUGUCCCAUUUAAAUGUAAAAUCACGAGAAUAAACGGCUUCAAACUGUGUUGUGAUUUUUAGGAACGAGGUAUAAUAAUAUAAAUAAACUUUACUAUGAUAGAGAUUGAGCACUUGUCUUUGUUUCUGUCCCUUUUGGUCUUGUUUUUGAGGUUGAGAUCCUUCUCGAUUAUUCUAUGUGGGUUUUAAAUGAUGGCGUUGAUCCCAUGGCUUGAGUUCAACCAAAAAUAUUAUAUUUUUAA